CCCACAUCAUGACCCGAGCCAAAGUCUCAGCUGAACCACUGACUGAACCACCCAGGUGCCCUGAAUGUCAUUCUAAUGUUAACAAAUAUUCACAAAGUGGCUUUCCAUGUGUGUUCCCCUCACAGCCCUGGUGAUCUCUAACUAUGCUGUGACAUUGUGACAAGCUGGCUAAUGUGACCGUCAGUGCUCUCCCAGCUCUUGGGGGGAGUUGGAUUUGGGCACCUGCAUGUCCUUUUUGCUUCACGGAGGAUUACCUUGUCAGAAAGAGGUGGCUAGACCUCCAGGACCUGGUAACCAUAGCAACCAUGCACGCCUGACCUUGUGGGUUCUUUAAGACACCUCUCCAGACCUUUCCCAGACAGAUCUUUUCAAGCUUUCCCCAAACUGUUAGUGGUAUUCUUAGACGGGCUCAGCCCUAACGUGCAGGGCACUUCAGGAGUAUUAACCUGACUGCCUUUUCCAGGUACCUGAACAGUCAGCACUCCAUGGGGAACAGGAGGAGCUAGAAAAAUUGGGAAAGCGAGAAGAACAACAUGAGCAGAAUCUCACCAAGGAAAUAAAGCACCUGCUUUUGAUCACUAAGAACAGAAGAUAAAAUGCUCACAUUCGAGAAUGCAAUCAACUCACUAUGUUGCUGUGUCGGAUGUUUUCAGAACACACAGACCCGACUAUGGCAUGAUGCCCUAGGAAGUGGGCUCUGUAGUGCUUCAGGAUGAUGCGUUGGCCUAAGCAGACACAUUUUCUUCAGACAGUGCUUAUGGGGCACACCUUUCCUGCGAGGAAGAAACUGAGGACCAGAAAGUUGCAUAACUUGUUCAAGGUCUCCCUUGAGAGAACAGAGGACUUGGGAGCUGAGCCAAGGAGCGUCUGGCUGGCAUGAGCUUAUUGUGUCUGGGGCCAGCUGAGCUGAACGUGGGCUCCUUUGCGGCUUCUCCAUCGCUGGCCAGCAGGCUGGCCUUCUGUUUCUCCUCCGGAAACCUUGCACACUCCUUUGAUUCAUGGUGUUAAUGGAAAACCUGUAGCUGGUGGUCUGUACAUCUGCUGGAGAGACAUUUUUCACAGAACUCACCUCAUCUGGGGACCAUGUGUCCAGGAGAGUUACCGGUUUUUGGCAAAGGGCACAUCCAGACUCACGUGCCAGCGUUACCCUCUGGGACAUUUGGUUACCAACUAAUGACAGGCAGCCAGGUAUCCUUUCCUCCAGUCGUACAUGCAGUCUUUUCUUCACCUUUGCAACCUCAUUAUGGGUAAAGCAGACAUUUAUCACCCCUGGGAAGGAGAAGAUGUGCACGUGGUUUCCACAGUGUGGUGAACCAACUUGGACACGAUACCCUCAGAGGUCUGACUGCCGCACAGCACGUCAGGACCGUUGGCCCAGGACUCAGGAGGAGUCUGGUCGUCUGCCUGCCUAGAACCUAUUGCUUGACCUUGGAUAAGUCGCUUUCCCUGUCCAGGCAUUGUGUCCCUCCGCUCUAAGGCCAGCACGGUGGCUAGGAUAUGGGAGAUGAUCAAACCGUGUUCAUUGAACCUGCGGAAAUAUACGAAGGCUUGGGAAGAGAAUGGCUCUACUGUUCCACGGCAGGUAGAGCUGGCUCAAAGCCUGGCCUGCAGGGCUGUUGCUGAUGCUGCCCACAGGUCCAGACAACCACAGGCUGUGGACAGUCACGACUUGUGUAAAUUGCCAUUGUCAGCCUGGCCUUUUGGGGUCAAGCUGCUGAAGUUCCAGUAGGCCUGCUGGUAAACCCCAGGUACUGUCUGUAGAGUCGAAUGGCCCUCUUAAGAUAAGAACAGAUGUUUUCUUUUCUUUAUUUAAAAA